GGCUAACGCUGGCGGCGUGUCUUAGCCAUGCAAGUCGAGCGGACUUAUGGGGUAACUUAUAAGUCAGCGGCGGACGGCGGAGUAACACGUAGCUAACCUACCCUCUGGACGGGGAUAACCUACCGAAAGGUGGGCUAAUACCCGAUGUAGUCAUCCUGUAUAGGGGUGAUGAAAGGUGGGCUUCUGUUUACAAGCUCAUGCUGGAGGAGGGGGCUGCGGCCUAUCAGGUAGUUAGUAGGGUAAUAGCCUACCAAGCCGAUGACGGGUAGCCGGCCUGAGAGGGUGACCGGCCCGAGGGGCACUGAGAUACGGGUCCCACUCCUACGGGAGGCAGCAGGCUAGAAAUUUGGGCAAUGGGGGAAACCCUGACCCAGUGACGCCGCGUGCAGGAAGGAGCCCUUCGGGGUGUAAACUGCUGUCGUGUAGGGAGAAGGGUACUAAGGUGAACAAUCUUAGUACUUGACGGUACUACAGGAGGAAGCCCAGGCUAACCUCGUG
rnacentral:rRNA from 1 species